GCAGCCGCCGCGGUAAUACGGAGGGGGCUAGCGUUGUUCGGAAUUACUGGGCGUAAAGCGCACGUAGGCGGCUUGGUAAGUUAGAGGUGAAAGCCCGGAGCUCAACUCCGGAAUUGCCUUUAAGACUGCCGAGCUAGUAGGUGAGAGAGGUAAGUGGAAUUCCGAGUGUAGAGGUGAAAUGCGUAGAGAUCGGGAGGAACAUCAGUGGCGAAGGCGGCCAUCUGGGACAACACUGACGCUGAGGCACGAAAGCGUGGGGAGCAAACAGGAUUAGAUACCCCCGUAGUCCCUGUCUCUUAUAC
rnacentral:rRNA from 1 species